GAAUUCGCCCUUAGAGUUUGAUCCUGGCUCAGGACGAACGCUGGCGGCGUGCCUAACACAUGCAAGUCGAGCGAUGAAAAAGAAGUAGAUCUCUUCGGAGUGACACCUCUUUGGAUUAGCGGCGGACGGGUGAGUAACACGUGAGCAACCUGCCGUACACAUUGGGAUAGCCUCGGGAAACUGGGAUUAAUACCAAACGAAACAUAUUGAUAGCAUUAUCAAAAUGUCAAAGAUUUAUCGGUGUACGAUGGGCUCGCGUCUGAUUAGCUAGUUGGUGAGAUAAAAGCUCACCAAGGCAAUGAUCAGUAGCCGGCCUGAGAGGGUGAUCGGCCACAUUGGGACUGAGACACGGCCCAAACUCCUGCGGGAGGCAGCAGUGGGGAAUAUUGCACAAUGGAGGGAACUCUGAUGCAGCGACGCCGCGUGAGCGAAGAAAGAAUUCGUUUCGUAAAGCUCUGUCCUAUGGGAAGAUAAUGACGGUACCAUAGAAGAGAGCCCCGGCUAACUACGUGCCAGCAGCCGCGGUAAUACGUAGGGGGCGAGCGUUGUCCGGAUUUAUUGUGUUUAAAGGGAGCGUAGGCGGGUACUUAAGUCAGUUGUGAAAGUUUACGGCUCAACCGUGAAAUUGCAGUUGAUACUGGGUGCCUUGAGUGCAGUAGAGGUAAGCGGAAUUCGUGGUGUAGCGGUGAAAUGCUUAUAUAUCACGAAAAACUCUAAUUGCGAAGGCAGCUUGGUGGACUGUAACUGACGCUGAUGCUCGAAAGUGUGGGUAUCAAACAGGAUUAAAUCCCCUGGGUAGCCCACGCCGUAAACGAUGAAAACUAGGGGGGGGGGG
rnacentral:rRNA from 1 species